UGCAGAAGACACAUUCGACUAAAAAUUCUAAAAUUUCAAUAAGCAAAGAAGAUAUUCUAAGUUCUGGCUGUAUUCUGGAGCGUUUCCUCAUGGGCGUCGCAAUUCACACACGUCACGGAUUCCGCCGAAGGAGUCGAUAAUUAAAACUGAACUUUUGGAUCGGAGAUAUGAAGACGCGCGCUGCAUUUUCCUUGGCGGAGAUGCACAGCUCUGACACUAGACAUUAUUAUACACUCGAAGGGAACGCGUUUCGCCGGAAGAAUAAAUAAUUACAUUAAACGUUUAUCAUCUGUGGGAGGAAAGUCAAUAAAAAAUAUGGCAAAAAUAAUAAUGGCUAUAUUAUUUAUACCAGAAAUAUUAUGUGAAUUUUCAUAUAUAGUGGUCGUGGUAACAAAAAACGACGAGAAAUUGCUUCUAAAUAAAAUUAUUUUUGAUUGUGUCCUUACAAUCAAAAAAUUUGACAAUGCUGAUAACGCAGCUAAUGAAAUUGAACAGGUUAUUAAGUACGUUCUUAUUCAAACUCCUUUAAAAUUAAAGAUAAGGCA